rnacentral:rRNA from 1 species
GACGAACGCUGGCGGCGUGCCUAAUACAUGCAAGUCGAACGCACUCUCGUUUAGAUUGAAGGAGUUUGCUCCUGAUUGAUAAACAUUUGAGUGAGUGGCGGACGGGUGAGUAACACGUGGGUAACCUGCCCUAAAGUGGGGGAUAACAUUUGGAAACAGAUGCUAAUACCGCAUAAAACCUAACACCGCAUGGUGUAGGGUUGAAAGAUGGUUUCGGCUAUCACUUUAGGAUGGACCCGCGGUGCAUUAGUUAGUUGGUGAGGUAAAGGCUCACCAAGACCGUGAUGCAUAGCCGACAUGAGAGGGUAAUCGGCCACACUGGGACUGAGACACGGCCCAGACUCCUACGGGAGGCAGCAGUAGGGAAUCUUCCACAAUGGACGAAAGUCUGAUGGAGCAACGCCGCGUGAGUGAAGAAGGUUUUCGGAUCGUAAAACUCUGUUGUUGGAGAAGAAUGUAUCUGAUAGUAACUGAUCAGGUAGUGACGGUAUCCAACCAGAAAGCCACGGCUAACUACGUG